AUAUUUUAGUGAAUGAUUCACAUCAAUUUUUGAUAUUGAAAAUUUUAGUUUAAUUCUAAAAAGUAUAAU
rnacentral:tRNA from 1 species